rnacentral:rRNA from 1 species
UCCGUAGGUGAACCUGCGGAAGGAUCAUUAUCGAGUUUUGACCGGGUUGUAGCUGGCCUUCCGAGGCAUGUGCACGCCCUGCUCAUCCACUCUACACCUGUGCACUUACUGUGGGCUUCAGAUUGCGAGGCACGCUCUUUACCGGGCUUGCGGAGCAUAUCUGUGCCUGCGUUUAUCACAAACUCUAUAAAGUAACAGAAUGUGUAUUGCGAUGUAACACAUCUAUAUACAACUUUCAGCAACGGAUCUCUUGGCUCUCGCAUCGAUGAAGAACGCAGCGAAAUGCGAUAAGUAAUGUGAAUUGCAGAAUUCAGUGAAUCAUCGAAUCUUUGAACGCACCUUGCGCUCCUUGGUAUUCCGAGGAGCAUGCCUGUUUGAGUGUCAUGAAAUCCUCAACCUACAAGCUUUUGUGGUUUGUAGGCUUGGACUUGGAGGCUUGUCGGCCGUUAUCGGUCGGCUCCUCUUAAAUGCAUUAGCUUGGUUCCUUGCGGAUCGGCUCUCGGUGUGAUAAUGUCUACGCCGCGACCGUGAAGCGUUUGGCGAGCUUCUAACCGUCUUAUAAGACAGCUUUAUGACCUCUGACCUCAAAUCAGGUAGGACUACCCGCUGAACUUAAGCAUAUCAAUAAGCGGAGGA